rnacentral:rRNA from 1 species
AUUGAACGCUGGCGGAAUGCUUUACACAUGCAAGUCGAACGGCAGCACGGACUUCGGUCUGGUGGCGAGUGGCGAACGGGUGAGUAAUGUAUCGGAACGUGCCCAGUCGUGGGGGAUAACGUAGUGAAAAUUACGCUAAUACCGCAUACGAUCUAUGGAUGAAAGCGGGGGAUCGCAAGACCUCGCGCGAUUGGAGCGGCCGAUAUCAGAUUAGGUAGUUGGUGGGGUAAAGGCCCACCAAGCCAACGAUCUGUAGCUGGUCUGAGAGGACGACCAGCCACACUGGAACUGAGACACGGUCCAGAGUCCUACGGGAGUAAGCAGUGGGGAAUUUUGGACAAUGGUCGAAAGCCUGAUCCAGCCAUUCCGCGUGCAGGAUGAAGGCCCUCGUGUUGUAAACUGCUUUUGUACAGAACGAAAAGGUUUCUACUAAUACUAGGAGCUCACGACGGUACUGUAAGAAUAAGCACCGGCUAACGACGUGCCAGCCGCCGCCGUAA